rnacentral:rRNA from 1 species
GACGAACGCUGGCGGCGUGCCUAACACAUGCAAGUCGAGCGAGUGGAGUUCUUCGGAACAAAGCUAGCGGCGGACGGGUGAGUAACACGUGGGCAACCUGCCUCAUAGAGGGGAAUAGCCUCCCGAAAGGGAGAUUAAUACCGCAUAAGAUUGUAGUUUCGCAUGAAGUAGCAAUUAAAGGAGCGAUCCGCUAUGAGAUGGGCCCGCGGCGCAUUAGCUAGUUGGUGAGGUAACGGCUCACCAAGGCGACGAUGCGUAGCCGACCUGAGAGGGUGAUCGGCCACAUUGGGACUGAGACACGGCCCAGACUCCUACGGGAGGCAGCAGUGGGGAAUAUUGCACAAUGGGGGAAACCCUGAUGCAGCAACGCCGCGUGAGUGAUGACGGCCUUCGGGUUGUAAAGCUCUGUCUUCAGGGACGAUAAUGACGGUACCUGAGGAGGAAGCCACGGCUAACUACGUGCCAGCCGCCGCAGUAACAC